UACGGAGGGUGCAAACGUUGCUCGGAAUCAUUGGGCGUAAAGCGCACGUAGGCGGUGCGUUAAGUCGGAUGUGAAAGCCCUCGGCUUAACCGAGGAAGUGCAUUCGAAACUGGCGCGCUAGAGUACUGAAGGGGAUAGCGGAAUUCCCGGUGUAGAGGUGAAAUUCGUAGAUAUCGGGAGGAACACCAGUGGCGAAGGCGGCUAUCUGGGCAGAUACUGACGCUGAGGUGCGAAAGCGUGGGGAGCAAACAGGAUUAGAUACCCCCGUAGUCC
rnacentral:rRNA from 1 species